CCUACGGGAGGCAGCAGUGGGGAAUAUUGCACAAUGGGCGAAAGCCUGAUGCAGCGACGCCGCGUGAGGGAUGACGGCCUUCGGGUUGUAAACCUCUUUCAGUAGGGAAGAAGCGAAAGUGACGGUACCUGCAGAAGAAGCACCGGCUAACUACGUGCCAGCAGCCGCGGGAAUACGUAGGGUGCGAGCGUUAUCCGGAAUUAUUGGGCGUAAAGGGCUCGUAGGCGGGUUGUCGCGUCUGGCGUGAAAGUCCGGGGCUUAACCCCGGAUCUGCGGUGGGUACGGGCAGACUAGAGUGCAGGAGGGGAGAGUGGAAUUCCUGGUGUAGCGGUGGAAUGCGCAGAUAUCAGGAGGAACACCGAUGGCGAAGGCAGGUCUCUGGGCUGUAACUGACGCUGAGGAGCGAAAGCAUGGGGAGCGAACAGGAUUAGAUACCCCGGUAGUC
rnacentral:rRNA from 1 species